rnacentral:rRNA from 1 species
UACGUAGGGUGCGAGCGUUAAUCGGAAUUACUGGGCGUAAAGCGUGCGCAGGCGGUGAUGUAAGACCGAUGUGAAAUCCCCGGGCUUAACCUGGGAACUGCAUUGGUGACUGCAUUGCUGGAGUAUGGCAGAGGGGGGUGGAAUUCCACGUGUAGCAGUGAAAUGCGUAGAGAUGUGGAGGAACACCGAUGGCGAAGGCAGCCCCCUGGGCCAAUACCGACGCUCAUGCACGAAAGCGUGGGGAGCAAACAGG